rnacentral:rRNA from 1 species
UAUGUGAUCGUCUCUCGCAUAUCAAUAAGCGGAGGAAAAGAAACUAACAAGGAUUCCCCUAGUAACGGCGAGUGAAGCGGGAAGAGCUCAAAUUUGAAAUCUUAAAGGGUUUCCCUUUACGAAUUGUAGUUUAAAGAAGUGUUUUCUGUUGAGGUUUUGGUAAAAGUUCUUUGGAAUAGGACAUCAUAGAGGGUGAGAAUCUCGUAUUUGACCUUUACUUUCAACUUUGUGAUACACUUUCAAAGAGUCGGAUUGUUUGGGAAUGCAGUCCAAAAUGGGUGGUAAAUUUCAUCUAAAGCUAAAUAUUGGCGAGAGACCGAUAGCGAACAAGUACCGUGAGGGAAAGAUGAAAAGAACUUUGAAAAGAGAGUUAAACAGUACGUGAAAUUGUCAAAAGGGAAGCGUUUGACACCAGUGUUGUUUUUCUGAAAAUCAAUUAAAGAACUGUUUAUGCUAAGCUGUUUAGACUUUAUCAGCUAACUGUUUAGUUUUGAGCUUUUCUUUAAUGCACUUUUCAGUUAACAAGUCAACAUCAAUUUCUUUUGCUGUAAAAAAGCUUGAGGAAGGUGGCUUGAGAUUCGUCUUAAGUGUUUAUAGCCUCUUGCCUAUGCAGUCGGAGAGAUUGAGGUCUGCAGCGUAGAUCCUUCGGGGCUAAAUGCAUUUGUGCUAAGUUAUAGCAUUUUAUAGACAACUUGUUGACUAUGAUUUGUCUUGUAGCUUACUCGCUUAUGUUAUUUUACCUACGCUUAGGAUGUUGAACGCGCACAGAGUCUC